CGCCAGAUAGCUCAGUUGGUAGAGCACCUGACUAGAGAUUCAGGGGUCCCGGGUUCGAAUCCUGGUCUGGUCC
rnacentral:tRNA from 1 species